GACAAACGCUGGCGGCGUGCUUAACACAUGCAAGUCGAACGGAGUGCCUAAGAAAGAGACUUCGGUCAAUUUCUUUGGUUACUUAGUGGCGGACGGGUGAGUAACACGUGAGUAACCUGCCCUUGAGAGGGGAACAACACACCGAAAGGUGUGCUAAUACCGCAUAACAUAUUGAAACCGCAUGGUUUUAANAUCAAAGAUUUAUCGCUCAAGGAUGGGCUCGCGGCCGAUUAGGUAGUUGGUGAGGUAACGGCUCACCAAGCCGACGAUCGGUAGCCGGACUGAGAGGUUGAACGGCCACAUUGGGACUGAGACACGGCCCAGACUCCUACGGGAGGCAGCAGUGGGGAAUAUUGCACAAUGGGGGAAACCCUGAUGCAGCGACGCCGCGUGAAGGACGAAGGUCUUCGGAUCGUAAACUUCUAUCCCUUGGGUGAAGAUAAUGACGGUAGCCGAGAAGGAAG
rnacentral:rRNA from 1 species